rnacentral:rRNA from 1 species
AGCAGCCGCGGUAAUUCCAGCUCCAAUAGCGUAUAUUAAAGUUGUUGCAGUUAAAAAGCUCGUAGUUGAAUUUCGGGACCAAUCUGCCGGUCGUGCCUCCGGUACGCACCGGUUUUAUUGGUUUCUCCCUUCUGACGAACCAUGAUGUCAUUAAUUUGGUGUCAUGGGGAAUCAGGACUGUUACUUUGAAAAAAUUAGAGUGUUUAUAGCAGGCUCACGCUUGAAUACAUUAGCAUGGAAUAAUGAAAUAGGACGUUUGACCCUAUUUUGUUGGUUUCUAGGAUCGACGUAAUGAUUAAUAGGGAUAGUUGGGGGCAUUAGUAUUCAAUUGUCAGAGGUGAAAUUCUUGGAUUUAUUGAAGACUAACUACUGCGAAAGCAUUUGCCAAGGAUGUUUUCAUUAAUCAAGAACGAAAGUUAGGGGAUCGAAGACGAUCAGAUACCGUCGUAGUCUUAACCAUAAACUAUGCCGACUAGGGAUCGGAUGAUGUUAAUUUUUAAUGACUCAUUCGGCGCCUUAC